rnacentral:lncRNA from 1 species
CUUCUGUAACUGGACUCAGGGAGCUUCAAGAGCCCGUUCUCCCUUCUCUUCUCAAAACUGACUUACUGUUGCCCCCACCUGGAAGAUACUGAAAGCUAUUCGCGCAGAAUAGAAACUGUAGGCUUCCCCUGCCUCUAGUCCAUUUCGAAAUGAGGGGCAUACAAUAAAUGCGUGUUGGUAGUUGAUUCAAGAUUUUAUACUGUGAAAUAACUGACUUUCAAUUAUCUGAUAAAAAAGAAAAUACUGCCCAAAG